UAUCAAUGCGUCUCUUAAAAAAGAACGAAAAGUCAAAAUUAUGAAUGCAUAAAUAUGAAGAAGUAAAAAAAAGAAACAAAUAAUUGAGCAAAUUGACUUCCUUCG
rnacentral:rRNA from 14 species